rnacentral:rRNA from 1 species
UACAGAGGGUGCAAGCGUUUGUUCGGAAUUACUGGGCGUAAAGCGUGCGCAGGCGGUUCUGAAAGUCAGCUGUGAAAGCCCCGGGCUCAACCUGGGAAUUGCGAUGAAGACUGCAAGGCUAGAAUCUGGCAGAGGGGGGUAGAAUUCCACGUGUAGCAGUGAAAUGCGUAGAGAUGUGGAGGAACACCGAUGGGCGAAAGGCAGCCCCCUGGGUCAAGAUUGA